rnacentral:snRNA from 1 species
GUGCUCGCUUUGGCAGCACAUAUAGUAAAAUUGGGAUAACACUGAGAAGAUUAGCAUGGCCCCUGCAUGUGGAUGGCAUGCAGAUUCAUGAAGCAUUCCAUAUUUUU